ACGGCUUCGUUGACCAGCGGGUUGGGUACGGCGCGCAGGGCGUCGGCUACCACACGGAAACCGGGCAGGGCGGCGAUCACGGCGCCGAAGCCGUA
rnacentral:tRNA from 1 species